AAUAGAUACCCGGGUAGUCCACGCCGUAAACGAUGAGUGCUAAGUGUUAGGGGGUUUCCGCCCCUUAGUGCUGCAGCUAACGCAUUAAGCACUCCGCCUGGGGAGUACGGUCGCAAGACUGAAACUCAAAGGAAUUGACGGGGGCCCGCACAAGCGGUGGAGCAUGUGGUUUAAUUCGAAGCAACGCGAAGAACCUUACCAGGUUCUUGACAUCCCACUGACCGCUAUGGAGACAUAGUUUUCCCUUCGGGGACAGUGGUGACAGGUGGUGCAUGGUUGUCGUCAGCUCGUGUCGUGAGAUGUUGGGUUAAGUCCCGCAACGAGCGCAACCCUUGAUCUUAGUUGCCAUCAUUUAGUUGGGCACUCUAAGGUGACUGCCGGUGACAAACCGGAGGAAGGUGGGGAUGACGUCAAAUCAUCAUGCCCCUUAUGACCUGGGCUACACACGUGCUACAAUGGACGGUACAAACGGUUGCCAACCCGCGAGGGGGAGCUAAUCCGAUAAAACCGUUCUCAGUUCGGAUUGUAGGCUGCAACUCGCCUAC
rnacentral:rRNA from 1 species